GAUGAAGAACGCAGCGAAAUGCGAUAAGUAAUGUGAAUUGCAGAAUUCAGUGAAUCAUCGAAUCUUUGAACGCACAUUGCGCCCCCUGGUAUUCCGGGGGGCAUGCCUGUCCGAGCGUCAUUACAACCCUCAAGCUCAGCUUGGUGUUGGGCCCCGCCGCCCCGGCGGGCCCUAAAGUCAGUGGCGGUGCCGUCCGGCUCCGAGCGUAGUAAUUCUUCUCGCUCUGGAGGUCCGGUCGUGUGCUUGCCAGCAACCCCCAAUUUUUUUCAGGUUGACCUCGGAUCAGGUAGGGAUACCCGCUGAACUUAAGCAUAUCAAUAAGCGGAGA
rnacentral:misc_RNA from 1 species